CUGUCAUCUUCAAAUGGUUCGUUUAGAUGGGUGCGGCGGAUGUGGAAGAGUUAUUCGCCGUCUAAAGGCUUUUACCGUUGGCAUUUGCAGUCAACAACUUGUUGGGAGAAACAGAUUGCACUUUCAUUCACUGGAUGAUGUGGUUUUCAAGUGGGUUUCUUUUUGAAUGAUGAAUUUAGAGACUAUUGUCUCACAGGUAUUGCCCACCUGAAAGAGGCAGAGAUUUAAAAAGAAAAGCUUAACUAGUUCAGGAAUCUGAAAGAGCAGUUUGUAAGGCUUUUGUAAUUUUCAGCAAGGGACUCUACAGGGGACAUAAAACUACUGCUGCAAGGGCAGUAGUUAUUGUUUGUUUUUAGACUUUGAGUUUGAGUUAAUGAGUGAGGAAGACAUCUUCCGCCUUCUGGGGCUUGCAUACUCCAGCCCCUCAGCCAGCGACCUCAGUGAAGGUGUAUCAGACAUGAGUCUGUCUACUUCCCCAGGGAGUGAUGGACCACAACACUUACUCAACACCAGAGUUGUGUCCAAUGGUCAUGCAGACCAUGGCACUGAAGGAGGGAGCUCUGGCAGUGGGGGUGGAAGUGAAAGUGCCCCAAAACCACGCAGGAAGACAAUUGCUCGCCAACUCUCUUCCAACCCUUACCUCACGAGUGCUUCUUCAAUUGAGGAUCACAUGAGUUUGACACCAGCCUCGUCUUUUGCUUUUGGGGAGAAUGCACCUUAUGAAGAUCCCAAAAUCCCCAUGCGUGCCUCAUCUUUUCCUGUUGCUGGGGAGGUGUUGGAAAACUAUUCUUACCAGCAACAUCAAUUAAACCAAAUCCGCAACCUCAGCCACAUAGAACAACCUGGGGAACUGAAUCAGUAUUACACUAAUGUUGUCAAUGGCAAUAACACUCUUCCAAGAGGAAUAAAUUCUUGGGGACACUUUUCCAAGAGCUGUCACAAUCGGUACAAGUAUCGACGUAGUGAUUAUUCAAGUGAUAGUGAGGAGGAUGCUCUCUCUCCAAACCCCUCCCAGCUUCCUCACAAACUUAGUGCAGGCUUCUCUGGACAAGCGCCACAUACCUGCCUCUCUGAUCUGCAACAUGUUACAACUGUCAUUAACCGUAAAAAAAGUGCCAUGGACAUAAAGAAAGAUCAUAACCAUUAUUCAGAAGGAGUUCGCCCAAGUGUGUUCAAGGAGAGAUUUGCAAUGAUGAAAAGGUGGUUUUCAGAAUGCAGUCAUGAGCAAAAAAACAUUGUCUUAAAAGGGUUACUGAGUGUAUGUGACUUGCCACAGCUACAUCUCUUGUCAGUUCGCAUGGAGACGAACCUUCACAGGGGCUGCCCUCCAAAUUGUCAGGAUUUUCUGACUUGGCUGCCCACCCCUCUUGCUGCCAAAAUUAUGACAUACCUUGACCCAGUGAGCUUGUGCCAGGCAGCACAAGUGUGUAAGCAUUGGCAGCAGCUAGCAGAAGAGCCGUCUUUGUGGCGGCGGUUUUGCUGCCAAGCUAAAUGGCGUCUGUCGAAGGCAGCAGAACACAAGCAAGUAAUCAGCCACAUGUCUGCAGAGGGAAGCAUUCAAUGGAAGCAAGUGUUUGCUGAGAGGUUCAGAUUGCGUAACAACUGGCUUGCAGGCAGAUGCACUGUUCGAACUUUUGAAGGCCACACCCAAGGAAUUUCCUGUGUGCAAUUUGAUGAUAAUAGAAUUGUCAGUGGAUCUUCAGACAAAACUAUUAAGGUUUGGAACAUUCGCACAAAUGCUCAGUGGUCAGUGCAGACACUGGUUGGACACAGUGGCACGGUUCGAUGUUUACAUUUGGAAGGAAAUCGGCUAGUCAGUGGAUCAAGUGACAAGACCAUCAAGGUAUGGGACUUGUCAACCCAAGACAGCUGGUCAAGCAUUGCCUGUAAAGUGACCAUGAUUGGACAUAGAGACACCGUGCGUUGCCUGCAAGUAGAUGAUGAUAAGGUUAUCAGUGGCUCAUAUGACAUGACGCUGAAAAUCUGGGAUCUUCGCACUGGCCAGUGUCGUAAAACUCUAGUGGGCCAUCAGGCACCUGUGCUGUGUGUCUACUUCAAUGACACGAAGAUUGUCUCAGGGUCAGGAGACAAAACAAUAAAGCUGUGGAACUAUGAAGGAACGUGCACAAGAACUCUAGCAGGCCAUCAGGAUGCUGUUACAUGCUUACAGUUUGACUCCACACGAAUUGUCAGUGGUUCACUUGACUGUACCCUCAAGUUUUGGGACAUUCAUACUGGAGAUUGCAUUAACACUAUUGACUGGAAGGUAGCAGAAGGUCAUACAGGAGUUGUGAGAUGUCUUCAGGCAGACAGUUGGCGUGUUGUCAGCGCGGCUGAUGAUAAGACCCUUAAGGUGUGGUCUCUGGAGACUGGAGAGCGACUGGUUACAUUAAGAAACCACUCAGAUGGAGUAACUUGCCUGCAGUACAAUGAUUUUAUCAUCGUUUCUGGGUCUUACGACAAAACUGUCAAACUCUGGGACUUCAGCUGUUGUUGACAGCUCAUACUUUGGCUAAGCCAACCAAUGUUGUGGACAUAGAGUAAACUGGGUGUGCACAUCUCUUUGCAGUGCUAGCCUGUCCAGUGAUGUGUUUAUGCUCAGCAAGCCACAUUCAUUGGACUACUUGCCCACUUGGAUUAGAUCACUAUACCAAAUCAUUUACUCAGGAACCACUGGCUUGAUUUUGAUAUCUAUUUUAGUGCAUUGUUGAGACUGUUGUUGCUGAUUUGUUUUACAUCACAUUAGUGAACAACUCUUGGAUUAUGCUUUUUUUUAAUGUUGUGUGGCUACAUCAUUUUACGUUAUGACACGAUUCUGCAUUUAUAUUCAUUAAGUGUUUACUCCAGUGAGACAAAACUCGACAUCAGAUCAAUGGGACAGAAUGUCACCAAGAAAAGCUUAGGCAUAUCCAAAUAAGUUGUAAACCAUUUUGAUUUCUGGAAUUGAUGCAGAGUGAUGAAAUCCAAACAACAAAAAAAAAAUUACUGCAUAAUGAGCAAAAUUGCAUCACCAUGAAGUUUAGAAUAUAUUCAUUUUAGGCUGGCUUUGUUUGUCUCAUUUUAAAGAGUUUUCACUGAAUUAGCAAUUUAUGUGCCUUUUUUCCUGCUUUCUCAACACCCACUUGUCAUUAUGCCUAGUUUGGUGUCAGUGCAUCUGCUGAAGUAUUGUUUACACAAUUGUCUUGAGCUUGCAGUUUUUAUCUGAUAUAUCCAGCAGUCAUUGUCAGACCACUUGAUCCCAGAAGAAUAUGAGAUCCCACUGAUUCCCCCAACCCCACCCUCCAAAAAAACCCCAAAAACAUAAAAAAGCAAGAAAUAUUGUUUAAGUAUGGAUGCACACACGCCCACAUGCAUGCACACACCCUUUUGACCCAGAAAAAAACUAUUGACUCGUCAAUCAUUUUGUUAAUUCAUUUAAUGUUUACCUUAAAAUUAUAUCGAACAAGAUUUUUUUUUCCCCAAAGCAGUGGUUUAGGAACCAGGGGAGCAAGGAAGGGCAGCACCCCUCAAAAAAAAAAUAUACUGAGGAGGCAAGAAUGUGAAUGUCAUUCAGUCAUCAUGGAGUUUACCUUGCCUCACCCCCACUCCCACCUCAAUGCUGAACAUCUUCCUAUGCCACUGCAAACAUGAUAGUAAUAAACACAAGAUUUAUAUAGUCCAUAACUCACACUUGUGAGGAGCAUGCACUUAGUCCUUGAGACAAGAAUAGAUUACAAAGGGCUGAAGGAUAAAUAACAGUGGUGAUUAUAUAGAAUAUAGACAUCAUUAUUUUCAUUUUCUGAACAUCAUGUGCAAAUAAUAGUUAGAAACUUUACUGAUAUCUUAGAAAAUCCAUUAUUCUACAUUUGUAAACAUUUUUGACCAAGAGUUUUGCCAUUUUAACAUUAGCAUGAAAUCAAGAUUUUGCUUCCUAAUAACUCCAAAACAAAAACUUGCUGAUUUAAAGAAAUUAAAUGUUAAAGAAGAUUAUGAGAUUAAGUAGUUGUUAUUAUCCUUAUUGCCUAUUUUGAGCAUAAGAUUUCAACACAGCCUCUCCCAGCAUACGGUCUUUGAAAGGUGAAGUUGUUAGUGUAAAAAUACUAUAUUUUAAAAUUAAAAAAAACAAAACAAGUGCGCCUCUUGCACACAGCCAUGCACACAAUGCUAAAAAAUAAAACAGCUUUAUGUUCUUAGUCUUCAGCUUUAUUUUGGAUAAAUAAACUAUCAUGUAAGAAUGAAGUGACUGAUACAUUAUUUCCAAAAAAGCAGGCAUAUAUGCUAAAGCAUAUUGUACAGAUUAAACCAAAAAAACAACAGAGAACUUGAAAGGUGGGUUAACGAGAACCAGAUGUCUUCCAUGCAUAAAAGAUAUAUGCAUUUUCUACAGACUGCAUAAUCACAAUCUUCAGGAGGGAUUUGAAUUCUUUUUAGCAGCUUUGAAGGCAAGGUUGUUUUUUGAACAUGGUUGUCAUCAGAAUUAUUCCUUGGAUAGGUUUUGCUUCUUCUACUUCCGCUUUCAACAUCUGUGCAGUGAGAUCCUCUUGUCAGGGGAUGCCACAAAGCUGGAAGAGAUCAUUUCCUAACCUCCAGAAUUGGGUGUGAAGGUCCACUCCAUUUGGCCAUAGCUCCUGAUGCUUUACCUUGGAGUUUGCUUUGGGUGGUCGUAUUCUCACUGGACUGAGCCUGCAUGCAAGGGGAGUGGAGACAGCUUUUUCAUUUUCUACCCCUGUGUGGGGACUUAAAGAUUACUUCUUUUGUUUAUAUCGGCCAUUUUUAGACUGGGGCAGAAUUCAUCCAGAAUUAGAUGCAGCCCCAGUUUUCCAUUUCUUUCCGUUGAUAACUUUCUGUAGCCUAUAGGUCACUGCUGGUGUGUUUGGACAAAGUCCACAUUGCCAGUCAUCCCCAUGCAGGCUGUUGGAGAAUUACUUGGAGAUGAAUUAUGUGAUGUUAUUUCUGAACAUCAGCAACAAUGUAGGGACACCCUCAUGUAGUGUAAUUUUCUUGCUGUGGAAUCUAUCAUGUUGACUACUCUUGCAGCUCUUUUAAGCAGCAUGGCAGAUCCACCUACAGAUGUUGCACACUCUUGAAGUAGACCCUGAAUGUCUUUUUCUCUUCUUGCAAAGAGUUAUUAAAGACAUUGUCAAUUAGGAAAUUAAUUGCUGCCCUGACCCUCCUGUUUAAGCCUUGGUGUAAGUCAAAGGAAGUAAAGAAAGCUUCAUACACACACCCUUUAAAGUGCUUAUUUUCAUUCUGCCUAUGGCAAUACUAAUAUUUAGAUGGAUUAAGUGUUUUUGGAAAAAAGAUAUGAUCAUUAGCAAAACUAAUAGCUGUUGAUUUUGUCCCUGAAUAAAAAAUGUUACGUCGUUAAGUGAAUUAGCAGUGUUCACAUUUGGGUCAAAUAUUGCCCUUUUUUGUGGGCACACAUGUAGUGUGCAUUAUAUAUGUGUGUGUGUGGAUGCAUCAAAACUUUUCAAUUGUAAGAUUUUAGGUAAGCUUUGCAUAUAGAACUGUUAAAUAUUCCUUAAGAAACACUCAUUUUCUUAUAGUGCAAAGUGGAUUAGAUAACAGUGGGAAAUUAAUGUAGUAAAUGCAUCCCAUUAUACUUUAAGUAUGUCAAACAAUUUAACAAUAAAUUAUGGAGUAAUUAUUUUGAAAAAUCUAAGAAGCAAAUGUCUAAUUCUUGUUUAGUAUAUUCCACAAAACCAUGUAAGAGUUUUGUUCAGAUUUCUUAAACCUUCCUAACAGUAUAUGUUUUAGGGUGGAAGAAGAGAAAGGAGCAAAGAGGGGUGCGGAGGUGGGAAAACUGGCACAAGUUCAUGUGCAUUCUCCAUUUCUGAUGCAUUAGAUCCUCAUUUUUGUGCCAUAAUGGUGUGUGCAUAAUUUGUGGCAAUAUGCCACGUGUCAGAUGACUCAAUGGGCUUUUCAAAAUAAAUACUGGCACAGAGGUAGGGACCCCUGAGAUCAUUCAAAACAAACUUUAAGAGCAGAACACAUAUAGACUGGCUGAAUACUGAGAUUUCCCAGUACUGAAACUGGCAACUAAUUGUUGACUUUAUCUAAAUGAAAUUCACAUUGUUCCUUUUUUCUGUGAAAUGCUUUUCAAUGCUCUAUCUUUCCUUUCUUUUUUUCUUGAGCACCCAGUCGUGUGUGCAAGUUUAUAUAUAUACACACACAUAUUACUGAAAGCACAGUUAGUAUCAUGGUGGUAAGCAUUCCACGAUUGUUCUUCCUGUCAUCAUCCUUGAAGAAGUGAAAGACAUAUUGAAGGUCUUAAAAUGGUCAAGAAAGAGGUUUUCUUGAACUACUACAUAUUAUGUAACAUAUUGGAGAAAUUGCAGGAAUUAUCAUAACUUAUUUUGGAGAUUUAUUGCUAAUUAAGCAGUAGGAAAGGACAAUUUCAUGUUCCAUUAAGUAAUAUCUAUACACUAUAUUAGUAUUUGUCUAUAAUUAUAAAAUAAGUGAAAGGUAUCAAAAACUGUAAAAUGGGAUCAAGACAAACAAAAAGCAAAACGAACAUUUAAGAAUUAGAUCAAGACAGUUCCUGGCUCAGUCAAAGUAACAUGAUUUAACCAAGAAACAAAACAAAACAAACAAAAAAGCAUGGCAUCUUAGGUAAACCAUAAAUCAUUCAUUCUAUAGUUAAGUAGAAAAUGUUAUCAGGGUGUUGUUGACUCCAAAGGGAGUUUAUCUUGUGCUGAUGAUAGUGGGUAGGAGGUGAUAUAAGCAAUAAAAUCUGAUAGUUUGAAAAAUUAUAUUGCAUAUGUGGGUGCAUGCCAGACCAGAAAUCUCCAAAAUCCUGAAUCAUGAAAAGGAGUUCAUGCUUGAGCAUUGGUCAAUUGCUAACCAACUACCAGGGAAUCUGAAUCCACCUUAAGACAUUUAGUGUGAUUGCAGCAACCUGCAAGGAAGCAGAACCAAAAUAUCUUUCUCAUAAUAUAAAGCUCCAAGGAAAAUUGGUUGUAAAAUCCAUAGAUUAAAUUGGGAAUUAAGAUCAAAUAAGACCUAGUAUGCAAGAUACAAAAAUUUGAAGGACUUUCAUCUCUUACAAAAAUUAUUUAUGAGAAGUAUAAGUGUUGACAAGAAAGACUAUUUCCUGGGGUCUUUUAUCCUUCCAGCUCUGCUGGGAACUUUGCCAGAAGUGUUUCUUUUUCUACUCUUCAUUGGCUUAUGACAUGGGUAAAAUAUCUUGUAUCAAGCAGCUUCUGAAUUGACCGACAGGUUUUAUGUUCUCAUACAUUGACAUUGUGGAAGCGAAGAUGGAAGGAAGGCAUUUUCCUUGAUUUGUUUUCAUAGUGUUAUCAAAUUACUUUAUGCAUCACCUGUGCUUGAACAGAACCCAUUCAGCAUAGAAAUUAAAAAAUGUUCACAAACACUUAUGGCUCAGGUGAGAUGCAUUUAGGACAAUGUGAACAAUCCUUCCAAGAUAGACCCACCUGUCUUGUGGAUCAAGGCUGUGGUUAAUGAGUAGCAGAGUUUAAUUUUAUCCCAACUUAUUUUGAAAUAUGUGAUUUUAGAAAAGAGAUCUACUGCAGCAGAACAGAAAAUUCGCUAUGCAGUUCAUAUAGCUGUGUAGAUUUUUUUUGUGGGGGAAAACUGUUAAACCUUAUGAAAGAAGUUGGGUCAGCAUAGGCAGAUUUUUUUUUACGCUAUGAAAAAUGGCUUGGCUUGUCUUCACCUGUAUAUAAAGAUAGCUUUUAUAUUACAUUGAUUGCAAUUAUUGUGACACUUAAGCAUUCCUAUGUACCUGAAAGAAUAUUUUGCUGUUGCAAUGUAAAGAGUUAAAGUACACCAAAAUUUGGCAAGGCUUGCAAUCUGGCUGUGAUUAUCCUGUUUACUAUGGUUGUAAAAGGGUGUGGAAAUAUGCAGUUUCCUGUGAUUGAUGGUUUUUGUUCUUUUUUGCUAAAACUGCUGGCUAGUGUCAUAUAAUGCACCUCAGGCCAAUGUUCUAUACUAUUUUCACCAGGAGAAAUAUGGAAUCAAUUUUCUGCAUAAUUCAUCUGUUCUAACAUCAUUAUAAUUCAUCUGUACCAACAUCAUUAUAAAGCAUUUGGCAUGUACUGCUUGCUUUUUGAAGGCAAAAGCAAGACAAACUAAAAUGCUUGGCAUCAAAUGAGACAGGGAUAAAUUUGUGUUGUUGGUGAAAAUUCAUAAACAAGCGAAAGCGAUGGCUUUAGCAUGCAGAUUUGAAGUGGGAGAUUGGAUUCAUGCAAAAUCCAGCAGUUUGUUUAGUCAUUGGGAACUUCCUUUGUUUUCCUAAAUAGGAACAUGAUCUGAUUGUCAUUUAAGCAACACAUUGCUGAGCAGAUUAAAAAAAAAAGAAAUUAGGGAAGAAACAUCAGCUGUUACAACUAAAACUUUUAUAAUAAUAUUAAAUUAUAUUUAGUCUGUUCAUUACAUUUGUAUGAACUCAUCUUUUCAAAUUUUGUUUGAGGAGGGGUGUACAAAGAAUUCAUAGAUUUGUUCAAGUACUAUUUACUGAAGAAUUUUUGUGAGACUUUUCCCUCUUAUCUCUUGAGCAAGUGCCUAUAUCUGUUGGGCUAAAGUGAUUUACUAAAGAUUAAAUGAAUUAACAUGAAGAAAUGUGGCAAGAUUAAUGGACAAAUAUUAUUUUGUGUGGACAAACAUUCUUUUCUUGCACUUGUCAUAAAAUUUUUUAGGGUUCAGCAGGUUUAUUUUUCGUAAAAUAGAUAUGUAUAAGAAGCAAAUGUUUUGUAUCUGUUAAAAGAAACUAUAAACUGAUUAAAAUUCACUUUUCCUGAAUUUCGGAACAGUUCAAUCUCUUGUGGCCGUAGUCUGGAUCACCGCAAGAACAAAUUUGAACAAAUAGUAUAGAGUUGUGUGACUUGGUUCUAUUUUGUAACUGCAAAAUUACAAACCUUCCAUACAUUUGACCAUAAUGAAUGUUUCUUACUACUCUCUUUCCUUGCCUUUUCCCAUCUCAGCAUUUGUGCUACAGUGCCAGAGGGGCCAGCAUGCUCAUGCUACAUGUGUGGGUGUUAUCUGUCUUCUCUUUUGUGUAAUAUACCAUACCUUUCCUUCUGAAAAAGACAAUAAUUGUGAAAAGGUGACACUUUAUUUCUGUCCACAUAUCUUCCCCUUCCCCCGAUUAGACUCAGUUUGUUGCACAGCAAAAAUUCAAAUGUUCCAAGGUUCUCAGAGGGAAUGCCAUCUUGCCAGGUGGAGAGAACAUCCAAACUGAAUGUAUGCUCCAGCAUAAGGCUGUCACAAAAGAUUUUAUUAAUAUUUAAUAAUGAAGGUGGAAACUUCUCAUGAGAAGUUAAAAUAUAAUUAUGACUUCAGCGUGCGUUUUGAGUCCAGAAUAUACAUGAUUUCCAUUUGAAUAUUGUCACCAUCAUGUUAAGAAGAAAAUAAUUGGCCAUGUUUUUCUUGUGCCUAGCACUUGGAGAUGUUUUCUUUACAUAGAGAUUCCAUGGAGUAGGUCAUAAGGGCAGUAAACUAUUAAGUGGUUCACCAUAUCGACUAGGACAAAGCAUGGCAAAGGCAGAGCCAAACCUUCUCCUGCUUGUAACUGCCAUGAUAAAUCAGCUGCUGGAUGUCUGGGUGAUUUGUUUUUCUAUUUUCGGCCACCUUCUGUUUCAAAAUGUCUGGACUGACUGUAGAACUUGGAUAAUGUUCAGCCUUCGAAAAUAGGAAUGGAGUUCUUUGUAGUUAAAUCAACAUUCCUUUUAGCUUUCUUUAGAAAUGUUUUGCAUGUUUGGAAUGCAAUGAAAGAUCUUUUCCCCUGAAAAUGUCCAAGGAUAGCUUCUUAUAGUUUAUGAACAUGAAUAUUUUGCUGUCAUAGGCACAUGAGCCAGGCUUGCCUGCUGAUACUCUAGGUAGCCUGAUAACAUUCUUGCUGUCUGAAUUAUAUAGGAAGCAUAAUAACUGAUGGUUUAGUAUGCUGCACAUUCAUUAUUAGAUUUGUUGCUGAUGUCUUUUUUUUGUUAAAAUUCAUGCUAUGGCUUUCAUUAUUUGGUUCAGAAAAAAAAUAUUUUAAGGAUAACAACUAGGUUUUAUUGAUUGUGCAGGUCAUGCUUGAUAUAAAUUAAUAUUUAUGCAUAAUAAACCAUCAAAUUACUUGUUAGGCACUGUGGUCUUUGCGGCAUUCUUGCUGUCUGCUGCUAUGGUUAUGGUGAUAAAAAAACAGUUGCAUAAUUAAGUUAAUGAAUAAGCUCACUUUUUUGCUUUUACAUAUCAUUAAGUCAUUUCAUGUCCUUUUGACUAGUUAGUUAAUCCCCCAGCCAUCUUGAUCGUAGGCUAACUUUGUUUCAUAUCUUGCCCACUCCUUUCCUCUCCUCCUCAAUAGUUCAUUAUCAUGUUUCCAGUGGGUGCCUUUUUCUUUCUCAUAUAUAGUAGUUCCCAUCUGAAGCCAUUUUAUGGAUGCCUGAUCUUGUUUAUCAGUGGGAUGUGGCUUGGCUACCACCAUCAUCUUUGUUUCACAUCUUUUGUAGUGUUGUUGAUGCCUGUGCAUCUGCUCACUUCUUUGCUCAUAACUCAAUAAUUUUGAAAGUUUGAAUGAGGCAUCAUCCUUCAAAGCCUCAGAGCCAGCUCUUGAUCUUGUUGGUUCUCCAGGUUUCUAAGGCAUAAUGUAAAGACUGAGUGCACAUUUGAUCUGUAAGUUUUCCAUUUGAACAUGAUCUCUAGAUGUUCUGCAGCUUGUUGAAAGCUUGUGCUGCAAGAGUUAUUCUGGUUGAGAUCUCGUUUUUAAUGUUGCUUUAUGGGUGCCAAGAUACUUGAAGUCCUGCACUUCUUCCAAAUCCGCACCACGUACCUUUGUUUUCAAUUUGCUCUUGUUUUUUACUUUCAUCACCUUGGUCUUGUCAGAAUGAAUCUUGUGUCUGGUCUUCUUCUCCUGGAUAUCUUUCUGGGUGUGUAAAUGCAGAGACUUGUCAUCUGCAAAGUUGCAGUGUUCUGAUCUGGCUAUUAGUUCCAUGCUGUUUGUGUCCAGUGUCUCUCCUCAUUAUACAAUCAGUAACAACAGACAAGAGGAGAGGAGAUUACACAUCCCUAUCUGACUCUUGACUUCACAUGAAAACACUAGCUUUGGUGCCCUUCCUGACUUAUACAACACUGAUUGCUGGCUUACAUGUUUUUCAGGAUGAUGGUUACUUUUGGUGGAAAUGUGUAUGCUUCUAGUACAAAGGGGAUGGAUGCUAUCAAAUGCUUGUUCAAAGUCGAUGUAAUAUAUGUUAAAGCAGGGAAUUCCAUUCAAGUAAAUUCUCCACCAUGAUGCAUAUGAUGAAGAUCUGGUUGUGCAUUCUGCCUGUUAUUCUCUUGUGAUCCUCUCAAUGGCUUAUCUCGUAUUCUGUAGGGUGGCCCAGUGGUGCAGGCAUUAGUGCCUGUCACCAAUACAGAGAAGGUUGUAUGUCCUGGGUCAACUCUUGUCUUGAGCACACUGCUCUUUCCCUAUAUGUGAUAUAUUCUUUACAGGACUGUGCUGUGAUAUAGCCUUAGUUGCUGGAUCAAUAUAAAACACCAAUUUUCCCCCUCAUACUCUUAAAAACUCUGGUACUGAUAGUAGAUCAAUUCCUUUCCAGUUUCCUCACACUGGAUGGUCACUUUUCUUAGAUAACUUCACAACGAUGCCUUUCUUCCAUGUUUCUGGAACCAUGCUUUGUUGAAGAGUUCUUUUUGCGCCAUGGUGCCAGUAGUGGGUCUCCUUUAGAAUAUCUGCAGUUUUCACCAAGUGUCCUCUUUCCUUCUAUCUCUUGCUGUGUGUCCACAUUUCAUUUCGAUGUUGAAGCCUGUAUCUUCUGUCAUUGCUUCUUUAUUUGGGUCUGGUCUAUUUAAUAUAUCUUUGACGUGAAAAUUCUCCGUUUGUUGAGUUUAUCUUCCUCUUUCAUAAGAACUUUGCCAUUCCUGUCCUUCACUACCAUUAUCUCACCGGUAAAUCCUCCAGUGAAGGUCUUGGUGAUUUUUUUCAGCUGCCGAAUGUGCUCUUUUUGCUAAAUUGUCUGUGGAUUGUCUUUUAUCCUUGCAAACACUCCUCUUCACAGCGAUGUUGUUUACUAUGCAGUCUUCUCUUCCUUGCUCCCUGGCAGUGGAUGUUGCCUUUUUGCCCUAUUGUCUUUAAUGAGCUGCCAGGUGCUUUUAAGAACCAGUCCUUCUCUCUCUCUUUUUAUUUGUAGCCCAGCUCAUCUUUGGUGGGAUUGAAGAAUGCCUUCUGUACAUGAUCACAGAGGGUUUUGAUGUCAUCUUUAGGCAUGUCUUCCAAGGCCUGAAACCUGUUGGUCAGCUCCCCAAAGAACCGGGUCUUCACUGUUGAGUCUUUCAAUUUGCUUGAAGCAAAGAGUUGUUCAUUGUUCAUCUUUCUUGUCAUCUUUAACUUGUAACUUGAACAAGACAAUGGUUGCUGCUGGCAAUCGCCCAUCUCGGUACUGACAUUUCUCAUGGGACCCCGUCUAUGUCAGUGGCAGUGUGGUCGUUUUGAUUACUGGUUCUCCUGUAUGGUGAUGGCCAAGUCAUCUUGUAAAUGGGAUUAUGCUGUAAGACAGUGUCACCAAUCACCAGUCCAUUUUCUAGACACCUUUCCAAGAAUCGCUGUCCAUUGCCAGUUCUCCUUGUCCCAUGCAGGAUUCGCAUCCUACCUUCACAUUAGUCACUCAUCACAAUGAGCAUGUCAUGUGGUAUUUUGUUUAUCUGGUCUUGCAGGUUGCUGUAGACAAGUCUUUCUCCUUCUCUGUGCCUUGUUCUGUUGGCACAUAGUUCUGUGAAAUGGUAAUCUUUGUGUACCUGGAGAAGAACCUUACUUCGAUGAUCUGAAUGCUAACCAGCUUCCACCCUAAAUACUUCCCCUUUUUUGUUCAUGAUGAUCCCUACUUCCUCUUUGUGUUGACCAUUUGUGCAUCCUUAGUAACACACUGUCUCUUCUCAACUGAUGGUGAGGUUGCUUGAGUCUUACCACACUAGCUUCACUUGCCCACAUGUUCCAGUCUGCCACUCUCACUUGUUUGGGUUUUUCCAAGCAUUCAAUGGAGAAUAGACUUUUUUCUAUAUAUAUUUUUCACUCUUCAUACAAGGCAUUGCUGCCUCAAUUCUCAUCACCCAAUGUUUGAUGACUUUCUAAUGAAUUUAUCAGCAUUUCUAUAACCUCUUUUUUUCUGCAUGUUCCUAGCCCUAUGCACAAUUCCUCCCCCCCCCCCUUUUCUCAUUGUAGACUUGGGACUAGUCAGUGGUGAAGUUUCUUGGCUAGGAAUAGGACCAAAAAAUAUGGCAUUUAUGCAUAAUUUAAAAUUCAAGAUACAUAAAUGCUAUAAAAUUAAAACUAAACUGUAUUAUGCAUGAAAGGUUUUAGGUCUUUUACAAGAUUUAAAAGCUGUUAAUGAGUCCCAUAUCUGGCAUAUCAUAUUAUUCUUUUCUGAUCAUUUAAGUAAAUAGCAUUUUUGAUUGAAAUCAUUAGACUUGCAAAAUGCCUUUGAUACUGUUGAGCAUUUUAUACUUUUAAACCGACUUUAGAACUCUUUUUGGCUUUUAUGCUGUUGCCUGAUUUUUGUCCGAUCUAAUGUGUACUCAGAUGCUCUUUUGAUAUGUGAGGGACUGUACGUCUUGGGAUCUGUUCUUUUUGUGCUGUAUACUUCUUCUCAGUCUGACAUUAUCACUUGCCAUGCCAUGUGACAUCGGUGUUUUACUGAUGGUACACAGCUUUAGCAAUCAACUCUGCUUGCUGAAGUUGAUGUACUGAUGAUGUGGAUACAGGAAUGUAUUAGUUAGUUAGUUAUGCCCUUCGCCCCUCCUGGUGCAUAGGCCAUCGACGACCGCCCUCCAACGCCUCCUGUCCUGGGCUACCGUCACCAGCUGACCCCAUCCAAAUCCGGUGAGCUUGGUGUCGGCGGCGAGGUCCCGUCUCCAGGUGUUUCUCGGCCUUCCUCGCUUUCUCUUUCCCUGGGGGUUCCAUGUCCACGUGCCCAUGGAAAGUGUUUUCCUGGUCGAUAGAAGGGUGGUCGGUGUUGUAGCUUCCGAAGAUCGGCUUUCACCGCAACACGUCAUACUCCCUCUAGGUGAAGGCCCUUCCUCUUCCAGGACUGUUGGCCAUUGUUUUGCUGUUGUCGAUGUUUUUGUAGCAAGGGUUUGUUUUACGGGGUGGGGGUGCUAGCCCCACGCCCAACCCUCCUCCUUUUCCAGCCGGGCUUGGGACCGUCCUUGGCGGAGUUUACAGGAAUGUAUGGCGGAUGUAAAGACUUGAAUGACCUAAAACAGACUGCAACUAAAGGAAAGAAUUGUUGCAAUGUCCUGAGAAAUUUCUUGGUCACCAUUCUCUUCUCAUUCUUAUGCCAGAAAAAGUUCUCUAUUCAUUUUUCUGCUUUUUUUUCACAGUUUAGGUGUCAUUCUUGAUUAGACUUUGAAUUUCUGGCAUCAUACUGCUCACCUUUGAAAGAUUAGUUCAGGAUAUCAUUAUCUCACCACUGAUGUAGCCAAAAUGCUAGAUUGACUGUUGUUAGCCUUCAAAACAACACUUGUUUAUGUAUAGAUAUCUAGAGCUGAACAUAUAAUAUCCAUCAUCUUGUUCACUGCCUGUUACUCAUCAUAUAGCUUAUCCUUACUGUUUGUUCCGAUUCCUCUUUGGGUCUUUUAUACUUUUCUUCUAACACCAGGCUUUUUUUUUCCUACCCACCCCUCUCAACCUUGAACAAAAUUACCUGUUAGCCUACUCAAAUUCCUUGACCUCCUUUAAAUCUAAACUUAAGAUUAAUUUUUUUUAUCAUAUGCUGUGAUUGUGGAAUGUUCAUGUUUGUAAUAUGUGUGUGCACAUGCAUGCAUGUCUCUACAGGAUUAGGUCUGUAUUGGUGUUUCUCCUAUGUGUGAAGCGCUCAGAAUAUUUUUUGCUAAAAGUAUGAUAUAAAUAUUCAUCAUUAUUAUCAAUAAGUGACAUGACAAAGAUAAGUAUUUUUAAAAAAAUCAGUCAGUCCAUCAGUAAUCAAAGCCACAUCACAGUUUUAGACAAUUGUACAAUUGUGGUGUGUAUUUAGUGACUGUCUUUAAAAUGGCAUGUAUACUUUGUGAUUUGCAAUUUUUUAAAAUUUUCAGGAGACAGCAUAACAUCAGAAAUUUCAGGUGUUUAAAGGAGUGCUUUGCUAUAUACGUCUGUUGGAAGUUUUUGUUUUUGGUUUGGCUUGAGUUUUGCUUGUUCAGGGGGUGCAUUCUUGCUUACCUUAGUCUUAAAUCCUAUGGUUGUGACAAACCCUAGCAUACUUAUUUGCUGCUAGUCAUUGUAUUAAAACACAUACUGAGAUUUCUGUACAGUUUUUCAUCUGUAUAGCAACUUAGCAAUUUUUGUUUAUUGACCCAGUUGUUAUACAUUUGCACACAUGGAUAUGAUACAGACUGUGGUUUACAUUUUGAUAUUCAUCAUUACCAGUCAGUUAAAUAAUUGUGAUCAAC
rnacentral:misc_RNA from 1 species